rnacentral:tRNA from 1 species
GCUUUUAAAGGAUUAUAGCUAUCCGCUGGUCUUAGGAACCACUUACCUUGGUGCAACUCCAAGUAAAAGUA